rnacentral:tRNA from 1 species
GGGAUAAUUAAAAAUGAACUUCUAAUUCAUUAUUUAUGACCAACCUUGUCAUACUAUCCCU